ensembl:lncRNA
CUCCCAUACAAGAUCAAGCAAAGCCUCCAAGCUAAGCGUGGAGGGUUAGAGUUCAGCGGGUGAACAACUGCAGGUGAACAUUCCAAAAGCAAGAAAAGCUGGUCUUUAUGUCAAUUAAAUAACACUUAAAUAACACAUUUAAAUAACACUUGGUGCUGUGGUGAGUAGUGUUGGUGUUCUGGUGAGUAGCGUUGGUGUUCUGGUGAGUAGCGUUGGUGUUCUGGUGAGUAGCGUUGGUGUUCUGGUGAGUAGCGUUGAUGUUCUGGUGAGUAGUGUUGGUGUUCUGGUGAGUUGCGUUGGUGUUCUGGUGAGUAGUGUUGGUGUUCUGGUGAGUAGCGUUGGUGUUCUGGUGAGCAGCGUUGGUGUUCUGGUGAGUAGUGUUGGUGUUGUGGGGAGCAGCGUUGGUGUUCUGGUGAGUAGUGUUGGUGUUGUGGGGAGCAGCGUUGGUGUUGUAAUGUUCUGGUUUAAAGUAUCGUAACUAUAUUAUGACCUUGAACGCUUGAAUCCGAU